ACUCUGACCACGUUUAAAACAAGACUGAAAACUUUUAUGUUCAGCUUCGCCUUCUGAUAAAUUUGACCUACAUUGCACUUUUUACCUCUGCCUUUAAUUGAACAAUUUAAAUAAGAUUUUAAUCUAUAAUUUUAUUUGCUGUUUUUAAUUCCUUUAAUUCCUGCAUUUUAUUUCACUUUAUUGUAUGAAAUGUUAUGAUGUGAAGCACUUUGAGUCUGCCUUGUGUAUGAAAAGUGCUAUACAAAUAAAAUUGCCUUGCCUUGCCUUAAAGGACUGAAACAGCAGGUGAGACAAACAGAGCGUCUCUCAGGUGUGUUUCAGGAACAAAGGCCCAGGUGAGCUCUGUGGUCCCUGCUGGGUCCUAGUGCCCCUCCGUCUGCUACCUUCCCCUCCUCAUCAGUAACAGUCCUCACAGACCCCAGAUCAGACUGAGCUCCUCUUCUUCAUCACAGCGUCAUCAUUCAGACUAACAGCAGCUUCUCUCUGCCUGCUCACACAGGCGCCAUCUUGUUUCCCAGCUUUAAACAAUCACACCUUCACGACCAUCAAUGAUGUCAUUCGACCAAUCACAGCUGCACUUACUGAGCUCGUAGACAUGAACUUCCUCAGUGAGCAGCUCUCUUCUGUCCUCAGCAGGUCCGUGUAGAAAAGGAGCUCCGUGCUUCACUUCAGCUUCCAUCAGACGGAGUGAAGUGUUGCAGCUUGUUGGAGCUUGUUGUCCUUCAUCAGAGAGGGUGUGUCCUCAGAGAGGUUGACUGAGUCUCAGUCUGAGCUGUUAACAGGGUCAAAGGUCCUCGUGAACAGAAUCCUCCUCACGGCUCAACAAGAGUCUUUCAGGAACAAAACCAGCAUCUGUGGAACGAUCCUUCCACCUUGUAAAGAGUUGCUAUGACAACAGACUGGAUGCUGUUGUUGGACCAGAUGGUUCAGAGGACCCGUGCACGCCCCUCUUUGUCACCUGGUCUUCUUCUACAUGUAGACUAGUAGGGAACAUGUGAUGAAGCAGAAACCUUUGUAACAAAUGUAGUGAAGAGUUUAUAUUGAAUAAAAACAUCCACUAAGACAACAGAGUCUGAGCUGAGAGUGUUUUUAUUCUUCACUC
ensembl:lncRNA